rnacentral:rRNA from 1 species
UUAGAGUUUGAUCCUGGCUCAGGAUGAACGCUAGCGGCAGGCUUAACACAUGCAAGUCGAGGGGCAGCAUGUCCAGCAAUGGAUGAUGGCGACCGGCGGAAGGGUGCGUAACGCGUGAGCAACAUGCCCUAUACAGGGAGAUACACCAGGGAAACUUGGUCUAAUAUCCCAUAGCAUUCAUUGAAGGCAUCUUUAAUGAAUUAAAGCUUCGGUGGUAUAGGAUUGGCUCGCGUGACAUUAGCCAGAUGGUGAGGUAACGGCUCACCAUAGCAAUGAUGUCUAGGGGUUUUGAGAGGAAGGCCCCCCACACUGGGACUGAGACACGGCCCAGACUCCUACGGGAGGCAGCAGUGAGGAAUAUUGGACAAUGGAUGGAAAUCUGAUCCAGCCAUGCCGCGUGCAGGAAGACGGCCUUAUGGGUUGUAAACUGCUUUUAUACGGGAGCAAUAAGGGUUACGAGUAAUCCGAUGAGAGUACUGUAUGAAUAAGGAUCGGCUAACUCCGUGCCAGCAGCCGCGGUAAUACGGAGGAUCCGAGCGUUAUCCGGAAUUAUUGGGUUUAAAGGGUGCGUAGGCGGUCAUUUAAGUCAGCGGUGAAAUUUUGCAGCUUAACUGUAACAGUGCCGUUGAUACUGUUUGGCUAGGAUUUGGUUGUAGUGUGCGGAAUGUGUGGUGUAGCGGUGAAAUGCUUAGAUAUCACACAGAACACCGAUUGCGAAGGCAGCACACUAAGUCAUUAUUGGCGCUGAGGCACGAAAGUGUGGGGAUCAAACAGGAUUAGAUACCCUGGUAGUCCACACUGUAAACGAUGAUAACUCGCUGUCGGCGAUACACAGUCGGUGGCCAAGCGAAAGCAUUAAGUUAUCCACCUGGGGAGUACGACCGCAAGGUUGAAACUCAAAGGAAUUGACGGGGGCCCGCACAAGCGGAGGAACAUGUGGUUUAAUUCGAUGAUACGCGAGGAACCUUACCCGGUCUUGACAUCCGUAGGAUCCUUCAGAGAUGAGGGAGUGCCUUUCGGGGAACUACGAGACAGGUGCUGCAUGGCUGUCGUCAGCUCGUGUCGUGAGAUGUUGGGUUAAGUCCCGCAACGAGCGCAACCCCUGCAUCCAGUUGCCAUCAUUAGGUUGGGGACUCUGGAUGGACCACUGCGGUAACAACGCAGAGGAAGGUGGGGACGACGUCAAGCAAUCAUGGUCCUUACGACCGGGGCUACACACGUGCUACAAUGGUAGUUACAGAGGGUUGCGAAGCCGUAAGGUGGAGCUAAUCUCAUAAAAGCUACGCAAGUUCGGAAUGAGGUCUGCAACUCGACCUCAUGAAGCUGGAAUCGCUAGUAAUCGCGCAACAUCAUGGUGCGGUGAAUAAAAAGCCCGCGGCCUUGCACUCACCGCCCGUCAAG